UACGGAAGGCAGCAGGGGAGUAUUGGUACGAAUAGGGCGAAAGACCUCGAUCCACGCCACUGCCGCCAUGAGUGAAGAAGGCCGUUCCGGUUGUAAAGACUCUUUUAGUUGAGAAAGAUAAUGACGGUACUCACAGAAGAAGUCCUGGCUAACUCCGUGCCAGCAGCCGCGGUAAUACGGAGAGGGCGUAGCGUUAUUCGGAAUUAUUGGGCGUAAAGAGCGCGUAGGCUGAUUAGUAAGUUAAAAGUGAAAUCCCAAAGCUUAACUUUGGAAUUGCUUUUUAAAACUGCUAGUCUAGAGAUUUGAAAGAGGAUAGAGGAAUUCCUAGUGUAGAGGUGAAAUUCGUAAAUAUUAGGAGGAACACCAGUGGCGAAGGCGUCUAUCUGGUUCAAAUCUGACGCUGAGGCGCGAAGGGCGUGGGGAGCAAACAGGGAUUAGAUACC
rnacentral:rRNA from 1 species